CUUUAAGGAUUAAAGCUGGAAAAAUUAUGUAACAGUUAGCUAUACUUUGUAGAUAGUAAGGAUGUAUCUGAAGCCCAAAAUCUUUUUGGGAUUACACAAAAGCUUGUCUGUCAUAGUUUGUCACAGUAGGUUUGUGACUUGCACAUGCAUCCUGUAUUCAUGUAUUCAGCGCUAUGUAUUCAUGUCUGUCUGGAUGCAAUAAUUAUUUAUUCAAAAUUGUCUAUAUUGUCUAUAAUUUGAUAAGCACAUUUUGACAAAAUGUCACUAGUUAUAUUUAGCUUGGCUGAUAGAAACUAAGUCUCCAGUCUUGUGUAAAAAAAAAAAAAAAAAAAAAAAAACUCCUCUACCUUUACGCAGCUGAGCUGUUGGUGAACUGCAGUUUUCCCGGAAUCUUUCAGAUCAACUUCUAAUUCAGUACACACACUCUUCAGUCUCUGGAUUCCAGAUGCCAGAGCUUUCACCAGGUGCCAUGGAGUCCACAGACAGGAAGAGGGAUUUGGACCAACUGUCAGCACUAGUGAUGAGUGGGUGGAAGAGAUAUGUGUCUGAGUCCCCCGUUUGCAGAGGUUGAAACCCUGCCACCAGUUGGAAUUAGUCGCAAUCUUCUCUAGGUAUGUGUCUGAGAUUCACUCCUGCAAUUGUUAAGUGAAGAUAUCCAUGCAUAAAUAUCUUGAUAAAUCACGUCAGACACUGUCAGAUGGAAUAAUCCUCUUGUGACAUAAUGUUGGGACACAAACUACAUCCAGAGGAAUUGACAAUCCAGGUGUAUCAUCACUAUAACACCACCAUAGAGAUAUGUGAUACCAAUGCUGACAGCUUUGAAGAUUAUUUUACCACAGAGACUGUCCAUAUGGCCUAUCACCAACACUACGAAAGACAGGGAUUAGGAGAGCCAGGCCUCUGGAUAGGGUUAAAGAGGCCACACUGGCUUCCACAAACAAACAUGCUAUCUACAACUGCAACAGACUGACUGUCCAGCUAAUUUCUCCUGGUGGUUCAUCAUAGAUCUAGAACUUACGCAGUCUCAAGUAUUCUAAUGUCUCGGAUCCUAACAGAUAGUUUGUGAUAUGAUGAUCACCUUGUGGUGGUCCAUACAAUGGAAGGAGAGAUGGAGGGAUAUGUGUGUCUGUGAGGGCCUGUUCUGGGGUGAGAAAGGCCCCCACUGCAGACAGACUUGGAAACAGAGGACCUCUCAGUGUAUGUGUGUGUGUGUGUAAUGUUACGCACGAGUACGAGUGUGAGAGAUGUGGACUAUGUGUGUAUCUCCCUCCCCUUGCACACAGCUGUGCUGUAAGGUAAACACAGAACGUCUCCUGUCCCCGGGUUGGAGCCAGGCUCACAUAGACUCUGACGCACACAUCAGCCACGGGCCCCCCUAAAUCACUGCUGUGUUAUUGUGUUGCCAUACUGUUGGAUCAGAUGUGUGUGUAUGGUGU